UACGGAGGAUGCAAGCGUUAUCCGGAUUUAUUGGGUUUAAAGGGUGCGCAGGUUGUUUGAUAAGUCAGUGGUGCAAGUCUGUCGCUUAACGGUAGGAUUGCCAUUGAUACUGUUAGACUUGAAUAUGGAUGAGGUAGGCGGAAUGUGUAGUGUAGCGGUGAAAUGCAUAGAUAUUACACAGAACACCGAUUGCGAAGGCAGCUUACUAAUCCAUCAUUGACGCUGAGGCACGAAAGCGUGGGGAUCAAACA
rnacentral:rRNA from 1 species